UUUUGCCAAACUAAAUCUCCUCUAGAUAAGUGCUUUAUUCUACUUCUCAUUUUUUUCUUUCUAUCUUUUUUUGUUGAAGUUUCACAACAAUUUUUUUCUUUUCUUUUCUUCUCAUAUGCACUUAUCUAGUUCUUACCGAUGUCCAAACCCCAAACUUAGAAUUUUUCACAUAUCAACAAUCUACAACACUUAUCCAAGCAAGGUAAGGGAGUGUU
rnacentral:lncRNA from 1 species